rnacentral:rRNA from 1 species
CUUUGUGACAUACCUACAACUGUUGCUUCGGCGGGUAGGCCGUCCCCUGAAAAGGACGCCUCCCGGCCSGGACCGGACCCCCUGUGGGGCCGGACUCGGCGCCCGCCGGAGGAUAACCAAACGCUAUUUUAACGACGUUUCUUCUGAGUGGCAUAAGCAAAAUAAUCAAAACUUUUAACAACGGAUCUCUUGGUUCUGGCAUCGAUGAAGAACGCAGCGAAAUGCGAUAAGUAAUGUGAAUUGCAGAAUUCAGUGAAUCAUCGAAUCUUUGAACGCACAUUGCGCCCGCCAGCAUUCUGGCGGGCAUGCCUGUUCGAGCGUCAUUUCAACCCUCAAGCUCUGCUUGGUGUUGGGGCUCUACGGUCGACGUAGGCCCUCAAAGGUAGUGGCGGACCCUCCCGGAGCCUCCUUUGCGUAGUAACAUUUCGUCUCGYACUGGGAUCCGGAGGGACUCUUGCCGUAAAACCCCCCAAUUUUUCAAGGUUGACCUCGGAUCAGGUAGGAAUACCCGCUGAACUUAAGCAUAUCAAUAAGCGGAGGAA